rnacentral:miRNA from 6 species
UGCCAAAGGAGAUUUGCCCUG